rnacentral:rRNA from 1 species
GGUUAAGCGACUAAGCGUACACGGUGGAUGCCCUGGCAGUCAGAGGCGAUGAAGGACGUGCUAAUCUGCGAUAAGCGUCGGUGAGGUGAUAUGAACCGUUAUAACCGGCGAUUUCCGAAUGGGGAAACCCAGUGUGUUUCGACACACUAUCAUUAACUGAAUCCAUAGGUUAAUGAGGCGAACCGGGGGAACUGAAACAUCUAAGUACCCCGAGGAAAAGAAAUCAACCGAGAUUCCCCCAGUAGCGGCGAGCGAACGGGGAGGAGCCCAGAGCCUGAAUCAGUGUGUGUGUUAGUGGAAGCGUCUGGAAAGGCGCGCGAUACAGGGUGACAGCCCCGUACACAAAAAUGCACAUGCUGUGAGCUCGAUGAGUAGGGCGGGACACGUGGUAUCCUGUCUGAAUAUGGGGGGACCAUCCUCCAAGGCUAAAUACUCCUGACUGACCGAUAGUGAACCAGUACCGUGAGG